UACGUAGGGUGCAAGCGUUGUCCGGAAUUAUUGGGCGUAAAGAGCUCGUAGGCGGUCUGUCGCGUCGGCUGUGAAAACUCGGGGCUCAACUCCGAGCUUGCAGUCGAUACGGGCAGGCUAGAGUUCGGCAGGGGAGACUGGAAUUCCUGGUGUAGCGGUGAAAUGCGCAGAUAUCAGGAGGAACACCGGUGGCGAAGGCGGGUCUCUGGGACGGUACUGACGCUGAGACGCGAAAGCGUGGGGAGCGAACAGG
rnacentral:rRNA from 1 species